rnacentral:lncRNA from 1 species
CUUCUGUGCUUCUUCAUCCUCUCCUUCUACCUGUAGCCGAUUUGAAUGACCAUGACCGAUGUAAACAUGCUCACCGGUUAAUUUAGUUAGGGCUUCAUGCCAUCCAACUACAUUCCAGGAUCCUGCAUUGGCCACUCCCUCUUCAAGUUUGAUCCUAGCUUCGCAAAUAGCCAUAACGACACUACCCCUCACCUCAGAUAUCACCUCCGCCAUCUCAUCAGCAUGCUCAUCCUCUUUCUCAGUAUUCGCUUUACACAACAACUCCACCCUCGUGAUGAGAUCUUCAUUGGUGGAUUUCCACACUUUCUCCUGUUCCUUUAAGGCUAACUCAGCCUUCUUAGCUCUCACGUUCAAGUUAACAGCAGUGCGAGAGACGUGAUUAGAAACCUAAAACAAGAAAGACAUUACUAGAUAUAAAAUAAAAACUAAGAACUGAAGUUCAUGAAACACUUACAAUUUGAGAAAAAGAGACCGUCUUCCGGAGAGCUUCCUUAGAUGCAAGGUUUUCCAGGCUCAGAUCUGGAACCUCAAUUGUUUUCCUUUUCCGGGAGCUUGGAGUUUUGGCAAUGAGAUCGAUGUAAGCUCUAUUGGAAGGAAGAGAGGAGGCACAUUUUUUACUUCUUGACCAUAAUCAAACCACUGGAAAUGUCGUCCUCCAAAUCAAAAAUGCCAAUUCG